UUCGAGAACUGCUUGGGACUGACAACAUUCAGCUUUGCUAGCAAAACAACUACCUCAUCGUGAAACAUAUCUUCAGGCGUUGGCUACAUACACGAUAAAGAUGAUGAAUUUCAUAAAUCAAAAGAAAAAUGACAUAGAGAUUCUUCGAAGAUUUUCACUGAUGCCCAAAUAUCUUCGGCCAAAAGUUGGGGUUCCUCCAUCGCUGCAAAAUGUCCACCUUUAGGGAAUUUUGUUGUACGAAGUAAUUUUUUGAAGCGCUCUUUGAGCAAACAUUCCGGCUGAUACGCAAUUUCAUAACGAAAUUGAGCACACGCACUUGGUACAUUUAUCGGCGCACUCGUAAAUUCUCACGGCCGUUGUCAUUGUAUUUGGAAUCCAGUAGUACAUCAAAUUGUCAAUGAGUUCAUCAGGAGUAUGUUUUUCAAAAAGACCACCAUCGUCUCUCAUUCUGUAAUUGGGAUUUGUGCCUGUUGAGAAUUUUUCAAGAAUAUAGGCAGCCAAGCCUAUUGGUGAAUCACUGCCCCCACCAAGUAUUUGGAAGUUUUUCAAAAUCAGUCUUACCUGAUCUCAGAUACAAAGAAACAGUAUAGACUAUAAAUAAUCCGAGAAUUCCAGUUUUUAUUAAUCCCAUUUUUGUUUGUUUUUUAAC